rnacentral:rRNA from 2 species
AACGCUGGCGGCGUGCCUAAUACAUGCAAGUCGAACGAACUCUGGUAUUGAUUGGUGCUUGCAUCAUGAUUUACAUUUGAGUGAGUGGCGAACUGGUGAGUAACACGUGGGAAACCUGCCCAGAAGCGGGGGAUAACACCUGGAAACAGAUGCUAAUACCGCAUAACAACUUGGACCGCAUGGUCCGAGCUUGAAAGAUGGCUUCGGCUAUCACUUUUGGAUGGUCCCGCGGCGUAUUAGCUAGAUGGUGGGGUAACGGCUCACCAUGGCAAUGAUACGUAGCCGACCUGAGAGGGUAAUCGGCCACAUUGGGACUGAGACACGGCCCAAACUCCUACGGGAGGCAGCAGUAGGGAAUCUUCCACAAUGGACGAAAGUCUGAUGGAGCAACGCCGCGUGAGUGAAGAAGGGUUUCGGCUCGUAAAACUCUGUUGUUAAAGAAGAACAUAUCUGAGAGUAACUGUUCAGGUAUUGACGGUAUUUAACCAGAAAGCCACGGCUAACUACGUGCCAGCAGCCGCGGUAAUACGUAGGUGGCAAGCGUUGUCCGGAUUUAUUGGGCGUAAAGCGAGCGCAGGCGGUUUUUUAAGUCUGAUGUGAAAGCCUUCGGCUCAACCGAAGAAGUGCAUCGGAAACUGGGAAACUUGAGUGCAGAAGAGGACAGUGGAACUCCAUGUGUAGCGGUGAAAUGCGUAGAUAUAUGGAAGAACACCAGUGGCGAAGGCGGCUGUCUGGUCUGUAACUGACGCUGAGGCUCGAAAGUAUGGGUAGCAAACAGGAUUAGAUACCCUGGUAGUCCAUACCGUAAACGAUGAAUGCUAAGUGUUGGAGGGUUUCCGCCCUUCAGUGCUGCAGCUAACGCAUUAAGCAUUCCGCCUGGGGAGUACGGCCGCAAGGCUGAAACUCAAAGGAAUUGACGGGGGCCCGCACAAGCGGUGGAGCAUGUGGUUUAAUUCGAAGCUACGCGAAGAACCUUACCAGGUCUUGACAUACUAUGCAAAUCUAAGAGAUUAGACGUUCCCUUCGGGGACAUGGAUACAGGUGGUGCAUGGUUGUCGUCAGCUCGUGUCGUGAGAUGUUGGGUUAAGUCCCGCAACGAGCGCAACCCUUAUUAUCAGUUGCCAGCAUUAAGUUGGGCACUCUGGUGAGACUGCCGGUGACAAACCGGAGGAAGGUGGGGAUGACGUCAAAUCAUCAUGCCCCUUAUGACCUGGGCUACACACGUGCUACAAUGGAUGGUACAACGAGUUGCGAACUCGCGAGAGUAAGCUAAUCUCUUAAAGCCAUUCUCAGUUCGGAUUGUAGGCUGCAACUCGCCUACAUGAAGUCGGAAUCGCUAGUAAUCGCGGAUCAGCAUGCCGCGGUGAAUACGUUCCCGGGCCUUGUACACACCGCCCGUCACACCAUGAGAGUUUGUAACACCCAAAGUCGGUGGGGUAACCUUUUAGGAACCAGCCGC